rnacentral:sRNA from 1 species
AACCGGUUGUCCCGCUCACACCUAUGCCGCGGCAAUUGAAAAUGCGUACGAGUAGUUUCGUGCGUGCGAGCGAGAUGUCGUUUGAAUUAAAUACCUAUCGACGCCGAUUUGAACUGAAUGACUGAAAUUGCUGCUUUGUGCUGAAGCACUUCUGGGCGACGUGAGAGGCCGUUAUAUGCUGUACAUUUUGAAAUUGUGUCUAUUGGAUGGAGGAUAGGAGAGGUGGUCGAUGCACCCACAACACAUACAUAUGUAUAUAGUUUAAGGAACUCUAAAUAAACCGAAUAUAAAUGAA